UACGUAGGGGGCGAGCGUUGUCCGGCGUUACUGGGCGUAAAGCGCUUGUAGGCGGUCCACCAAGUUUGGGGUGACAGUUGCCGACUUAAUCGGCAAAGUGCCUCAAAGACUGGCGGACUUGAGGGCCACAGAGGGACAUGGAACUCCAGGUGUAGUGGUGAAAUGCGUAGAUAUCUGGAGGAACACCGGUGGCGAAGGCGGCAUCCUGGACCAAUUCUGACGCUGAGGAGCGAAAGCCAGGGGAGCAAACGGG
rnacentral:rRNA from 1 species